GCACUGCUGAGGAGUCCCACAAUAGAACGAAACAGACUUCCAGUGC
rfam:Schistosoma mansoni, Puerto Rico, WGS project CABG01000000 data, contig: 0105